rnacentral:rRNA from 1 species
AACGAACGCUGGCGGCAGGCUUAACACAUGCAAGUCGAACGCCCCGCAAGGGGAGUGGCAGACGGGUGAGUAACGCGUGGGAAUCUACCGUACCCUACGGAACAACAGUUGGAAACGACUGCUAAUACCGUAUACGCCCUACGGGGGAAAGAUUUAUCGGGGUAUGAUGAGCCCGCGUUAGAUUAGCUAGUUGGUGGGGUAAAGGCCUACCAAGGCGACGAUCCAUAGCUGGUCUGAGAGGAUGAUCAGCCACAUUGGGACUGAGACACGGCCCGAACUCCUACGGGAGGCAGCAGUGGGGAAUAUUGGACAAUGGGCGCAAGCCUGAUCCAGCCAUGCCGCGUGAGUGAUGAAGGUCUUAGGAUUGUAAAGCUCUUUCACCGAUGAAGAUAAUGACGGUAGUCGGAGAAGAAGCCCCGGCUAACUUCGUGCCAGCAGCCGCCGUAA